rnacentral:rRNA from 1 species
GACGAACGCUGGCGGCGUGCUUAACACAUGCAAGUCGAACGGAAAGGCCCUGCUUUUGUGGGGUGCUCGAGUGGCGAACGGGUGAGUAACACGUGAGUAACCUGCCCUUGACUUUGGGAUAACUUCAGGAAACUGGGGCUAAUACCGGAUAGGAGCUCCUGCUGCACGGUGGGGGUUGGAAAGUUUCGGCGGUUGGGGAUGGACUCGCGGCUUAUCAGCUUGUUGGUGGGGUAGUGGCUUACCAAGGCUUUGACGGGUAGCCGGCCUGAGAGGGUGACCGGCCACAGUGGGCCUGGGGUACGGCCCAGACUCCUACGGGAGGCAGGAGUGGGGAAUAGUGCACAAUGGGCGGAAGCCUGAUGCAGCAACGCCGCGUGCGGGAUGACGGCCUUCGGGUUGUAAACCGCUUUCGCCUGUGACGAAGCGUGAGUGACGGUAAUGGGUAAAGAAGCACCGGCUAACUACGUG